rnacentral:rRNA from 1 species
UGGGGAAUAUUGGACAAUGGGCGCAAGCCUGAUCCAGCCAUGCCGCGUGAGUGACGAAGGCCUUAGGGUUGUAAAGCUCUUUUUGGCGGGGAAGAUAAUGACGGUACCCGCAGAAUAAGCUCCGGCUAACUUCGUGCCAGCAGCCGCGGUAAUACGAAGGGGGCUAGCGUUGUUCGGAAUCACUGGGCGUAAAGCGCACGUAGGUGGAUAGUUAAGUUCGGGGUGAAAUCCCAGGGCUCAACCCUGGAACUGCCUCGGAUACUGGCUAUCUCGAGUCCGGAAGAGGUGAGUGGAAUUCCUAGUGUAGAGGUGAAAUUCGUAGAUAUUAGGAAGAACACCGGUGGCGAAGGCGGCUCACUGGUCCGGUACUGACACUGAGGUGCGAAAGCGUGGGGAGCAAACAGGAUUAGAUACCCCUGUAGUCCCUGAGCGGGCUGGCAAGGCGCAU